rnacentral:tRNA from 1 species
GCCCUUGUAGCUUAAAUCAGAGCAUCAGUCUUGUACACUGAACGGCGGAAGUUUAAAUCU